rnacentral:lncRNA from 1 species
AAAUAAACAAAACCUGAAAUAAACCAAAUAGAUAAUCAAAAACUAUCCACUAGUAGUUUGUUUUAUAAGGUUAUUUUGUCUUAUUCUCUAGGUGUAUGCAAAUCUGUGUAUUUUUUAAAUGUGUUACAAAAAGGGGGAGGGGAAUUUUAUCACACGGAAAGUCUAAUAAUCACAAUAUAAAUAUGAAACGAAUAUAUCACUCGCGCAAAUACCAAUAGUACUGAUAAAUCAGCGCGCCAUGAAAUAAUACAAUCGCGGGAGAGAAGAAACAAAGAUUUUUCUCUCGCGAAAACAAAGAAAAAAAAUGAAAUACGGCGGG